rnacentral:rRNA from 1 species
UGUGGCCUUGAGCCGUGGCUUUCGGAGCUAACGCGUUAAGUAGACCGCCUGGGGAGUACGGUCGCAAGAUUAAAACUCAAAUGAAUUGACGGGGGCCCGCACAAGCGGUGGAGCAUGUGGUUUAAUUCGAUGCAACGCGAAGAACCUUACCUACUCUUGACAUCCAGAGAACUUUCCAGAGAUGGAUUGGUGCCUUCGGGAACUCUGAGACAGGUGCUGCAUGGCUGUCGUCAGCUCGUGUUGUGAAAUGUUGGGUUAAGUCCCGCAACGAGCGCAACCCUUAUCCUUGUUUGCCAGCGAGUAAUGUCGGGAACUCCAGGGAGACUGCCGGUGAUAAACCGGAGGAAGGUGGGGACGACGUCAAGUCAUCAUGGCCCUUACGAGUAGGGCUACACACGUGCUACAAUGGCGCAUACAGAGGGCGGCCAACUUGCGAAAGUGAGCGAAUCCCAAAAAGUGCGUCGUAGUCCGGAUUGGAGUCUGCAACUCGACUCCAUGAAGUCGGAAUCGCUAGUAAUCGUGGAUCAGAAUGCCACGGUGAAUACGUUCCCGGGCCUUGUACACACCGCCCGUCACACCAUGGGAGUGGGCUGCAAAAGAAGUAGGUAGUUUAACCUUCGGGGGGACGCUUACCACUUUGUGGUUCAUGACUGGGGUGAAGUCGUAACAAGGUAGCGCUAGGGGAACCUGGCGCUGGAUCACCUCCUUAAACGAUGAU